rnacentral:rRNA from 1 species
UGCCGGCGACCGGCGCACGGGUGAGUAACACGUAUGCGACCUGCCCCCGCAGGGGGAUAACCGGGAGAAAUCCCGACUAAUACCGCGUAACGCCGCGGACCUGCAUGGGUCUGCGGCCAAAGGAAGCGAUUCCGGCGGGGGAUGGGCAUGCGGCGCAUUAGCUAGUCGGCGGGGUAACGGCCCACCGAGGCGACGAUGCGUAGGGGUUCUGAGAGGAAGGUCCCCCACACUGGUACUGAGACACGGACCAGACUCCUACGGGAGGCAGCAG